GGGUAGCUUAGGGGUUGUUCCGGAGGUCGUGGGGCUUUUAUAAUUUUUUUCUAGUUGUGUGAAGGCGUCUUGAAGUAUUUUCAUUAAUUAGAAAAGUGAU